AACGAACGCUGGCGGCAUGCCUAACACAUGCAAGUCGAACGACAGCUUCGGGUCUAGUGGCGCUCGGGUGCGUCACGCGUCGGAACCUUCCCUUAUGUUCGGAAUACCUCCCCGACAGGGGUGCUAAUGCCGGGUAACUUCUUCUGACCCAAGAUUUAUCCCCUUUGGAUGGGCCCGCGUUGGAUUAACUUGUUGCUAGUGUAAAAGCCUACCAAGGCGACGAUCCAUAGCUGGUUUGAGAGAAAGAGCAGCCACACUGGGACUGAGACACGGCCGAGACUCCUACGCAAGGCAGCAGAGGGGAAUAUUGGACAACGGGGGAAAGGAUGAUGCAGCAAUGCCGGGAGAGUGAUGAAGGCCGGAGGGUUGUAAAGCACGUUUACCCGGGAUGAUAAUGACAGUACCGGGAGAAUAAGCACCGGCUAACUCCGUG
rnacentral:rRNA from 1 species